rnacentral:rRNA from 1 species
GUAGGUGGCAAGCGUUGUCCGGAAUUAUUGGGGCGUAAAGGGCGCGUAGGCGGUACCUUAAGUCAGAUGUGAAAACCCGAGGCUUAACUUCGGAGGUGCAUUUGAAACUGGGGAACUAGAGUGCAGGAGAGGUAAGUGGAAUUCCUAGUGUAGCGGUGAAAUGCGUAGAUAUUAGGAGGAACACCAGUGGCGAAGGCGACUUACUGGACUGUAACUGACGCUGAGGCGCGAAAGCGUGGGGAGGCAAACAGGAUUAGAUACCCUGGUAGUCCACGCUGUAAACGAUGGAUACUAGGUGUGGGAGGUAUCGACCCCUUCCGUGCCGCAGUAAACGCAAUAAGUAUCCCGCCUGGGGAGGUACGGCCGCAAGGUUG